AAUAUUUUUAUUUUAUAGUUUACAAUUGUUAUUAAAUAACGUCCUUCCAAACCCGUUCCGCCAAACUCGUCCUGUAAAAAAAACCGCGGUACCCCGUUAAUUUAAAUUUAUAAUUAAAAUAAAUAUUUUACGGGAUUGCAAUUGUGUUUUAGUUUGUCAAACAAAAUUUUGUUUUAAAUAGUUGUCGAAAUCUAGUUCAAAUUUUGGAGAAAUAAGAUUUAGUGAAUUGAUAAGAAAUAUAUUUAGUUGCGUUUUGCUCAUUUUAAGGGAUUGCAAUUGUCUUUUGGGUUGUCAAACAUUUUUUGUUUUAAAUAGUUGCCAAAAUUUUGUUCAAAUUUUGGAAAAAUCUGCGUGAUAUAUGGGAUUGGAAUAUAUUUGGAAUGUUUUCGUUUGUUAAUCAAUUUAUUGCUGAAAAACCCAAUAAUUAAAAGCCAGUGACAGCCAUCGUAAAUAAGUUCCAACUCCAUGAUUUAUUUCACAAAAUGGCUGCAAAAAUGUAUAUAUAGAUUAUUUUCUAAUCUUCCGGGAAGUUUGUUUGUCUCCCAACACCAAUAAGUCACCAUUCGGG
rnacentral:sRNA from 1 species